UAGCUGGUCUGAGAGGAUGAMCAGCCACACUGGAACUGAGACACGGUCCAGACUCCUACGGGAGGCAGCAGUGGGGAAUAUUGGACAAUGGGGGCAACCCUGAUCCAGCAAUGCCGCGUGUGUGAAGAAGGCCUGAGGGUUGUAAAGCACUUUCAGUGGGGAGGAGGAUUAGUAGGUUAAGAGCUGAUAAUUGGACGUUACCCACAGAAGAAGCACCGGCUAACUCCGUGCCAGCAGCCGCGGUAAUACGGAGGGUGCRAGCGUUAAUCGGAAUKACUGGGCGUAAAGGGUGCGUAGGUGGUU
rnacentral:rRNA from 1 species